rnacentral:rRNA from 1 species
AGCGAACGCUGGCGGCAGGCCUAAUACAUGCAAGUCGAGCGCACCUUCGGGUGAGCGGCGGACGGGUGAGUAACGCGUGGGAAUGUGCCCUUUGCUACGGAACAACUGAGGGAAACUUCAGCUAAUACCGUAUGUGCCCGUCGGGGGAAAGAUGUAUGGGCAUAGGAGCAGCCCGCGCUGGCUUAGGUAGUUGGUGGGGGAAAGGCCUACCAAGCCGACCAUCCAUAGCUGGUGUGAGAGGAUGAUCAGCCACACUGGGACUGAGACACGGCCCAGACUCCUACGGGAGGCAGCAGUAGGGAAUCUUGCGCAAUGGGCGAAAGCCUGACGAAGCCAUGCCGCGUGUAUGAUGAAGGUCUUAGGAUUGUAAAAUACUUUCACCGGGGAAGAUAAUGACGGUACCCGGAGAAGAAGCUCCGGCUAACUUCGUGCCAGCCGCCGCGGUAAAAC